GUGGGGAAUAUUGCGCAAUGGGGGGAACCCUGACGCAGCGACGCCGCGUGAGCGAAGAAGGCCUUCGGGUCGUAAAGCUCUGUCAUUGGGGACGAAGGUAAGUGACGGUACCCAAAGAGGAAGCCCCGGCUAACUACGUGCCAGCAGCCGCGGUAAUACGUAGGGGGCGAGCGUUGUCCGGAAUUACUGGGCGUAAAGGGUGCGUAGGCGGUCCAUUAAGUCAGGUGUGAAAAACCUGGGCUCAACCGAGGUAUUGCACUUGAAACUGGUGGGCUUGAGUGCAGGAGAGGGAAGUGGAAUUCCUAGUGUAGCGGUGAAAUGCGUAGAUAUUAGGAGGAACACCAGUGGCGAAGGCGGCUUCCUGGACUGUAACUGACGCUGAGGCACGAAAGCGUGGGGAGCAAACAGGAUUAGAAACCCUAGUAGUCC
rnacentral:rRNA from 1 species